CCUACGGGGGGCAGCAGUGAGGAAUAUUGGUCAAUGGACGCAAGUCUGAACCAGCCAUGCCGCGUGCAGGAAGACGGCCCUAUGAGUUGUAAACUGCUUUUGUACGGGGAUAAACGGAGACACGCGUAGCUGUUUGCAAGUACCGUACGAAUAAGGACCGGCUAAUUCCGUGCCAGCAGCCGCGGUAAUACGGAGGAUUCAAGCGUUAUCCGGAUUUAUUGGGUUUAAAGGGUGCGCAGGCGGUCGGAUAAGUUAGCGGUGAAAUCCCGAGGCUCAACCUCGGAAUUGCCUCUGAUACUGUUCGGCUAGAGAGUAGUUGCGGUAGGCGGAAUGUGUGGUGUAGCGGUGAAAUGCUUAGAGAUCAUGCAGAACACCGAUUGCGAAGGCAGCUUACCGU
rnacentral:rRNA from 1 species